UUUUACAGUACCCAGGGAUGAAUAUGGGCCAUCCAAUCUAUAGAUUGAGCUGUGCAGAUGAAAGCCAUACUGCCAGAUUUUGGCCGCCCAACACGCGAGCAGUAUAGAGUGUCCUGCGCCGUCCGGAACCAGCAGUAUAACCGGAUGAGGGUAUUUUAGGAAGAUCAUAUUUUGUCCUGCAAGGCAGACUCCAUCUCCUACCCCCGUUCGUUCAGUUUGCCCACCCAAAAAAAUCCCCUCACGUAUUCCGGCCGCCAUGGACCUGCACCCCUGUAGUCCCUCCUCUCUCUCCGGCUUGAGCAGCGGCGGAGACGGGAACCACCCUUCCGAGCCAGGGUCCGGCCGCCGCCGCCAACGCGCAUCCCCCGUAUCCCCUCCUCCUCGGUCGAUUUGAAUGGCCCCUACGAACUAGGGUUCCGGCCAUCGCUGACGCCGACCACCGUGGCGCAGCUGGUCGAUCUCCGGCCAGGAUGAUCCGCGGCCAUGAAGGUUUCGGAGGGCCGCGGCCCAGCCGGUCAAGUACUGGGCCGAGGCAGACGCGGUGUCGCCGGCGGUUGCCGCCGACCGCGGCGACGAAGCUGCAGGCUGAACAACGACAACGGACUCCUCUGAACAGAAGGUAAUAUGGCUGUAAAAUCCCUGUUUGUAUGUGGAAAGCAUAUCAUUGGACAAUGUUGUGGUAUUUCACCUUUCUGAUAGGUCCAUCCACAAACUAGCAGAGUUUUCAGGCAGCGACAAUUAACACCCGGAGCAUUGGGCCGGCCAUGUUAAGCUUCACAUCAUACAUGACAUAGCAAAAUUUUUAAUCUUAACGAUGCAUCUUCCUGACAUAGUUUAAUUCGAUCUCAGUGUAUGUAUUUACUUACGAUUGGGUUUCCCGAAUCAGGAUGCGGAGAUGCUGCGACCAACGCGACCACCAAGGUCUAACGUAGUGGCAAAAAAGCGGGUAAUGGCGGGAGCACGCCGAGACGAGGUCGGUGAGGGCGAGGGCAAGGACAGAGGUCGGUGAGGGCGAGGGCGAGGACCCAUGUUGGCGAGGGAGAGAACAUCUAUGCUGGUGUGAGAGGGUACUGGCAAACAACAUUUAGUUAACUCUUCGCGCCAAGGCCAUAUGAGAUCACCGUUGAGAUCAAGAUCAACAUCCAACAUUCAUCGAGGGGUUGUUUUUCAAAUCCACUUUAAACACAGACACUUUUCACCUGCUCUCUGGGUUGUUGUCAUUAGCAGAUGUCCUAUUUAGCUCGGAUCUAAGCCUUGUAAUCGCUUUUAUUGUUGUAUUUGAUUAAAUCCUAGCCGUUUGUUCCGGCUGGCAUCACUUCCUCUUGUAAGAUUACAUCUGAAUCUAAUAAGGGUAGCUGAAAGUAGUGACUAAA